rnacentral:rRNA from 1 species
CAUCCUCCAAGGCUAAAUACUCCUGACUGACCGAUAGUGAACCAGUACCGUGAGGGAAAGGCGAAAAGAACCCCGGCGAGGGGAGUGAAAAAGAACCUGAAACCGUGUACGUACAAGCAGUGGGAGCCCCACCACUAAGCCAGUGGUGAACUCCACAUACGCAUCCUUUGCUGAGGAUGCGGUUAACGGAGCGAAAGCGACGUUCAACCGCAAAAGAAGCAGAGGGGGCUUAGUGGUGGGGUGACUGCGUACCUUUUGUAUAAUGGGUCAGCGACUUAUAUUCUGUAGCAAGGUUAACCGUAUAGGGGAGCCGGAGGGAAACCGAGUCUUAACCGGGCGUUAAGUUGCAGGGUAUAGACCCGAAACC